GUGAGUCAUCGAAUCUUUGAACGCAACUUGCGCUCUCUGGUAUUCCGGAGAGCAUGCCUGUUUGAGUAUCAUGAAAUCUCAACCAUUAGGGUUUCUUAAUGGCUUGGAAUUGGGUGUUGCCAGUCGCCUGGCUCGCCUUAAAAGAGUUAGCGUGUUUAACUUGUCUAUCUGGCGUAAUAAGUUUCGCUGGUGUUGGCUUGAGAAGUACGCUUCUAAUCGUCUUCGGACAAUUCUUGAACUCUGGUCUCAAAUCAGGUAGGGCUACCCGCUGAACUUAAGCAUAUCAAUAAGCGGAGGA
rnacentral:misc_RNA from 1 species